UACGUAGGCAGCAAGCGUUGUUCGGAGUUACUGGGCGUAAAGGGUGUGUAGGCGGCUUCGUAAGUUCGGUGUGAAAUCUCCUGGCUUAACUGGGAGGGUGCGCCGAAAACUGCGGAGCUGGAGCGCAGGAGAGGAAAGCAGAAUUCCUGGUGUAGCGGUGAAAUGCGUAGAUAUCAGGAGGAAUACCGGUGGUGAAGGCGGCUUUCUGGACUGCUGCUGACGCUGGAUACACGAAAGCGUGGGGAGCAAACAGG
rnacentral:rRNA from 1 species